CCUACGGGGUGCAGCAGUGGGGAAUAUUAGACAAUGGGCGAAAGUCUGAUCCAGCCAUGCCGCGUGUGUGAAGAAGGCCUUCGGGUUGUAAAGCACUUUCAGUGGGGAAGAAAGCCUUGGGGCUAAUACCCUCGAGGAAGGACAUCACCCACAGAAGAAGCACCGGCUAACUCCGUGCCAGCAGCCGCGGUAAUACGGAGGGUGCGAGCGUUAAUCGGAAUUACUGGGCGUAAAGCGCGCGUAGGCGGUCUGAUAAGCCGGUUGUGAAAGCCCCGGGCUCAACCUGGGAACGGCAUCCGGAACUGUCAGGCUAGAGUGCAGGAGAGGAAGGUAGAAUUCCCGGUGUAGCGGUGAAAUGCGUAGAGAUCGGGAGGAAUACCAGUGGCGAAGGCGGCCUUCUGGACUGACACUGACGCUGAGGUGCGAAAGCGUGGGUAGCAAACAGGAUUAGAUACCCUUGUAGUC
rnacentral:rRNA from 1 species